rnacentral:rRNA from 1 species
AUUGAACGCUGGCGGCAUGCUUUACACAUGCAAGUCGAACGGUAACAGGCCGCAAGGUGCUGACGAGUGGCGAACGGGUGAGUAAUGCAUCGGAACGUGCCCAGUCGUGGGGGAUAACUACUCGAAAGAGUAGCUAAUACCGCAUACGAUCUAUGGAUGAAAGCGGGGGACCGUAAGGGCUCGCGCGAUUGGAGCGGCCGAUGUCAGAGUAGGUAGUUGGUGGGGUAAAGGCUCACCAAGCCCACGAUCUGUAGCUGUUCUGAGAGGACGACCAGCCACACUGGGACUGAGACACGGCCCAGACUCCUACGGGAGGCAGCAGUGGGGAAUUUUGGACAAUGGGCGCAAGCCUGAUCCAGCAAUGCCGCGUGCAGGAAGAAGGCCUUCGGGUUGUAAACUGCUUUUGUACGGAACGAAACGGCUCUGGUUAAUACCCGGGGCUAAUGACGGUACCGGAAGAAUAAGCACCGGCUAACUACGUG